rnacentral:rRNA from 1 species
GUGUCAGCAGCCGCGGUAAUACGUAGGAUCCAAGCGUUAUCCGGAAUUACUGGGCGUAAAGCGUACGUAGGUGGGAGUUUAAGUGAGAUGCGAAAUCUGGCGGCUCAACCGUCAGACUGUGUCUCAUACUGGGCUCCUGGAGGUUGGCAGAGGCAAGUGGAAUUUCCGGUGUAGCAGUGAAAUGCGUAGAGAUCGGAAGGAACACCAAUGGCGAAGGCAGCUUGCUGGGCCACACCUGACACUGAGGUACGAAAGCGUGGGGAGCGAACAGGAUUAGAUACCCUGGUAGUCCACGCCGUAAACGAUGGAUGCUAGUAGUUCGAGGUAUCGACCCCUUGGGCUGCGAAGCUAACGCGUUAAGCAUCCCGCCUGGGGAGUACGAGCGCAAGCUUAAA